AUGCUCUACGGAGGAAAGUGGGGGACUCAGCAGGCAACUGAGGGGCCUCACGCUAUGGGAGCGGCCGAUGGCCGAUUAGCUAGUUGGCGGGGUAAAGGCCCACCAAGGCGACGAUCGGUAGCUGGUCUGAGAGGAUGAUCAGCCACACUGGGACUGGGACACGGCCCAGACUCCUACGGGAGGCAGCAGUGGGGAAUUUUGGACAAUGGGGGCAACCCUGAUCCAGCCAUGCCGCGUGCGGGAAGAAGGCCUUCGGGUUGUAAACCGCUUUUAGUCGGGAAGAAAGGGCGCUCCUGAAUACGGAGUGUCUAUGACGGUACCGGCGGAAUAAGCACCGGCUAACUACGUGCCAGCAGCCGCGGUAAUACGUAGGGUGCGAGCGUUAAUCGGAAUUACUGGGCGUAAAGCGUGCGUAGGCGGUUCCUCAAGUCCGUUGUGAAAGCCCCGGGCUCAACCUGGGAAUGGCAGUGGAAACUAGGGGACUGGAAUCUGGCAGAGGGGGGUGGAAUGCCGCGUGUAGCAGUGAAAUGCGUAGAGAUGCGGCGGAACACCGAUGGCGAAAGCAGCCCCCUGGGCUGAGAUUGACGCUCAGGCACGAAAGCGUGGGGAGCAAACAGGAUUAGAUACCCUGGUAGUCCACGCCCUAAACGAUG
rnacentral:rRNA from 1 species